rnacentral:rRNA from 1 species
UACGGAGGGUUCAAGCGUUAUCCGGAAUCAUUGGGUUUAAAGGAUCCGUAGGCGGGCUAAUAAGUCAGCGGUGAAAUUUACUGGCUCAACCAGUAGCGUGCCGUUGAAACUGAUAGUCUUGAGUUGUUGAGGAGUAGCUAGAAUGUGUAGUGUAGUGGUGAAAUGCGUAGAUAUUACACAGAAUACCGAAAGCGAAGGCAGGCUACUAUUAACAUACUGACGCUGAUGGAUGAAAGCGUGGGUAUCGAAC